CUCACAGGUCUUGUGGAUUUAUUUGAUAAUGACCUUGAGCAUGAAGUUCCAAUGGAAUUGUUCAGAUGCGUUUCAAGUUUUAGCCAACAGUUGGGCAAAACUGCUUCUUCUAUAUUUUAUGAAUCACUUCUGAGUAGCCCAGCUAUCUCUUCUGAAGAUAUUAUUCAUUGUAUAAUGAAGAUUCUGGAAACUGGAUAUGGUUCCUUGGCUCCAGCUGUCCAUGCGUCUAUUCCUGGGAAUGAUAUUGUUCUGGAGAAGGAGCUUGCAGAUCGCAGAAAUCUGAGGAGACUUUCUAUUGACAUGUUCUUGUCUCUUCAAGGGUUGUACAAGAAGGCUGCAUCAUGGGGCAGGAUUUUGAAUGUAAUUGAGGGUUUUCUGAAAUUUUUGGUUCCACAUAAAACUGUAAAUAACUCCGAUUCAGAAAAAUCAUCAAAUGUCAAUUCCUCCGUUGUAGUCCAUGCUACUUAUCAGAUUGCAAAUGUUAUGUUUGAGUCUGCCUGGGACUUUCUUCUAUUUCUAAGCUAUCUAGUGGACAUCAGUGGGCAGAUCCACAUGUCACAUCAUGAUAUAACCAGAAUACAAAUUGAGUUAAUUCCUAUGCUUCAAGAAACUAUUUUUGAGUGGCUAGUUAUCAUCUUCUUUGCUAUCACGCCAUCUGCACCACCUGUGAUUGAGGAUUUUAAUUAUAAACUCUCUUCAUUACAAAUUGACAAUAACAUGGGAAAACGGUCAUGGAAUGAUAAGCUUGGAAGAUGUGAUUCCACACUGGCUUUUAUCUUCUUCUUGAAUGCUAGUUCAUCAAAAGAUGGUAACCAGCUUCCUUCAGAAUACUUUUCAAAUGUGCAGGGCAUUGUUGUCAAGGUUAGAGACUUCGUCAGUUGGAUAAUCUAUGGUCAGACUGGAGGAAUUUCUACCUUCUUGAGCCGUUCAAUUGAUCUCUCCUUUAUCCUUUUCAAGCAUGGGCAGUAUGGUGCUGCUGAGCAAUUGCUUAUGAUGGCGGAGGCUCAUUUGCAAAAGGAGAAAACAUCCCAAAGUAUUCAAGAAGCUGAUGGUGGAUGGUGCAUACGACAGCAUCUUCUAGGCUGUGCCCUUCUUGCACAGGUGCAGUGUGGAUUGCAUGGCACUCUGAAAGAGAAAAAGGUCUCUGAUGCUGUUCGCUGUUUCUUCAGGUCUCCAUAUGGGAAUGGUGCAUCAGAGGCUUUGCAGAGUUUGCCUCAUGACAUAGGAUUGCCAUGUCUUAAUUUUGGUGGUUGUGCAUCGACUGCUGAGUGGAAGCUUUAUUACUAUCAGUGGGCGAUGCAAUUAUUUGAACAAUAUAAUAUUAAUGAAGGUGCCUGCCAGUUUGCUCUUGCUGCACUCGAACAAGUUGAUGAAGCUCUUUGUAUAAAAGAUGAAACGCACAUGACAGACUCGACUGAUGAAUCAGCAACAGUCAUCAAGGGACGGCUGUGGUCAAAUGUCUUCAAAUUUGCCUUAGAUCUUGGCCGCUAUUUUGAUGCAUAUUGUGCAAUAAUUUCAAAUCCGGAUGAGGAGAGCAAAUACAUCUGCUUGCGACGUUUUGUCAUUGUCCUUUAUGAGCAAGGUGCCAUCAAGAUUCUUUGCAGUAAUAAGCUUCCCCUUGCUGGUUUAAUGGAGAAGGUAGAGCAGGAGCUUGCUUGGAAGGCUGAAAGAUCAGAUAUAUCUGCAAAGCCAAACUUGUACAAGUUGCUUUAUACAUUUCAAAUGCAUCAACAUAAUUGGCGCAGGGCAGCGAAUUACAUGUACUUAUAUUCAGCUCGCUUGAAAACUGAAGUGUCUCUAAAAGAUUACCAGGGUUCUUCAUUGAUAUUGCAAGAGAGGCUGAAUGCACUCUCUGCUGCUAUUAAUGCCUUGCAUCUUGUUCAUCCAGCACAUGCCUGGAUUGAUCCACCAGCCGAAGGAAGUGGUCUUAUGAGCGAACAGUAUCCGAGUAAGAAAGCUAGGAGAACUGUAGAUAUAGAUUUAUCGGCUGAAAGUGAUGCUGAGCAUCAAUGCUGGACAUCUUCUAUUGAUAUUGAAAAACUUGAACAUGAGUUUGUGCUAACAUCGGCAGAAUAUAUGCUGUCGCUGGUAAAUGUUAAGUGGACAUAUACUGGUAAAGAAGGGGCACUGUCAGAUUUGGCUGAUCUCCUUGUCCAAAACAAUUUAUGUGAUAUGGCCUUCACAAUUCUUCUCAGAUUUUUCAAGGGCUCGGGAUUGAAGAGGGAGCUUGAAAGAGUUUUCGCUUCUAUAUCUUUGAGAUGCUGUCUUGAUAAAGUAGAAUCCACUUGGAUUGAACCCCACAGUAAUUUGUUGACAUCAUCCAAGCUUGAAAUGGUUGUCCAUGGUUCACCUCGUACAGUUUCUACAACCGCACAACCUGACAGGAAUAGCCAUUGGGCAACUCUGGAGCUUUACCUUGGAAAAUAUUGUGAAUUUCAUGGAAGACUACCUGUUAUUGUUGCUGAAACUCUUCUUCGUGCAGAUGCUCAGAUUGAUUUGCCUCGUUGGCUGGUUCAAUUGUUUAAGGAGGGUCAAAGAGAGAAGAUGUGGGGAAUGGCUGGUCGAGAAUCAAAUCCUGCAUCUUUAUUUCAACUUUAUGUUAACUAUGGUCGAUUUACAGAAGCUACUAAUCUGUUGCUGGAGUUCUUAGAAUCAUUUGCAUCGAUGAGACCAGCAGAUAUAAUCAGACGGAAAAAACCAUUCGCAGUUUGGUUCCCAUACACAACAAUUGAGCGACUACUGUAUCAACUUGAGGAGUUGAUUAAAGCGGGUCACAUGGUAGAUCAGUGUGACAAGCUUAAGAAGAUGUUACAUGGUUCUUUGCAUAAUCACCUCAAGUUGUUAAAGGAGGACUCGAAUGAUGCUAUUUCUGUAGCUUGUUGAUUGGUGGUCCGCUAUACCCAGCUAGAGAUCUGUUGCUACCGUAGAGUACCUGCUAUACUAACAAGUAUAUCUAUUCAUUCCUUUCUCCUUUCUCUCUAGUUAUGGAGUAUUUGCUCUAUCAUCUAACCAGUUUUUUUUUUAUUCAUUGAAUUUUUUGGAUAAUGUAUCUAACCAGGACUAUGCGUAAGGGAUCACUCAGGCCGGAUCACUCUAGCCAGAAUAUCCGUUCACUAUAAAGGACCAAAUCACGGCUGCUGCUGCAUCUUGUCAGCAUUUGGAGACGGAAUAAUGAAUGGACAUUUGCGUUCUCAACGCCUGUAUUUGUAUAUUCAUUUCCGCAGACCGGUUAUUCAAAUGGAAUCUUGUGUAGAGACGCCUGAUUGAUGUGGAAACAGUGACUGUGUAGGCACGAUUGGAUUCCAGCAGAUAAAAAUCCAGCCCAUGGAAGAUCCUGCCCCACGAUAUGGACAACGACUUUAGACUUGUCAGAGCCGACUUUGGAGAGUGAAAAUAUUUUGAUUCGUUGGCUUGUGCCAUGGCGUAUACUAUUUUACAGGGAAAAGCACCAGAAACCGGAUGGAUGUAAAUAUUAUCAUGCAUCUGUGUAGAG